GUGAAAGCCUUUGCACUGCCCUGCCCCUCCCCAAGCCACAGGGUUCCCCUUUGAGCACAUUCAUUUGUUAGUUUUCUUUUGAAGUUAAUGGCAGGAUGUGGCUCCUUGUCUGUAUUUUCACAGGCGUCAUAAUUACUUGUUGAAUGUUUUGAGGGGUCAGAGUAGGGAAACACAGGUAGAUUUGCUACUGCAAAAGUCUGAUGGCUUCCAGUUUGUGUUCCAUAAGGUGUUUGGCAUUUUAUAUGGACCUCCAGACCGUGGGUCCAUUUUAGAGGAAUGCUAGGCUUCUGUGUGUGUAAUCAAAAUAGCACACACAAGGAUUAUCCUGUUUUCUGAUGCCAGGUGAGAAGAGUUCAGCAGGUGCUGAAAACGAGACCUUUACAUUGCGUGGAGGAGAGAGACAGGCACCCCAAGGCUCUUUGCUGCAACCACCAGGAAGGCUGUUUCUGCUUGUGAACUUUCCUCAAGCCACUGGUGUGGUCUUUGCAACCUACUCCAAGCUGUGGAGAACCCUGAAUGAGCUAAUUGCGGGCCAUCAACAUUCAUCUUUCUCCUUUAGCAGGCUCCUCCAAGGGUCAAAAGGUGAAAAUGAUUGAGGUACCUUUUGCUAUGAAUAUUUCACGAGCUGCAUAUCCCUUUUUCACUGAGAUCUAUGUGCUGACUGAGGGCUUCUUCGGGAUGAGUCCUUAGUUGACUGAUGAAUACAAAACACUUCUCGAACAAAAGGCAUUCAAGAUUAGCGGAAGACAAGACAGCCUACUUUAGUUUCUGUGAGCAGUACCUGGAGUAUCAAUGGAGAUAAAACACUGAGUGACAGGUAACUGAAAUACUGAAUAACACAAUAUAUUGUUCUCCUAUUGAUUGGGGAAAUAAUGAGAAAGUUAGCAAGUCACGGUAAUGUCACAGACAGCGAUGAACUUCGGAAAACUCAAGGACCAGAAAGUAACAUGAAACAAGGAGCAAAAUGAAGAUAAUAUUUGGUUACAGUACAGUUCUCAAAUGGUAGUGAAACGCAUCCCACCGCCUUUGAGUAUGCACGGUUUUUAAAAUGAAGACAAAGGGAAGAAAUUGCUGGCUGAAACAAUAUAGCUAUUUUAUUUUACUGCAGACAGUAAUGUGAACUUCUUGGAAGACAUCUUCUUUCACCACACUAUUGCCGACGGACACAUUUAGGAGCUAUGAACCAAAAUUAUCCUCUCUCUGCAUACCCUUUCUAGUGUCAUAUCCCGCAAGGCCCUGUGGUAAUUGAACAUAUUCAGUACCAAGAAUCAGCUUUUGUUUCACUGUGGUAUGGAGGUUUCAAAGACAAUCCCUUUGAAGAGGCUACUCAUUCAAAAGAGAAGCAGCACCUUUGCAAAACACAUCUAGAGAAAGCUUUUUUUUUUUUUUUUCUCUUCUCACACUGACUCAACUCUUGGGAAAGUUUAGCUUGCCCAUCUCCAUAACCGAGGGAUGCUCCCUGCUUUCCUGUAGCUUUGCAAAAGACCCCAUCCUCCUGACACCCAUUGCCUAGGCUCUGUGCUAGUCAGUUAGACAAGUCAAAGUUAGACCACUGAAAAUAAUCAUGCUGGCCCCACUGUGCCUCCCAGAAUUUCU
rnacentral:lncRNA from 1 species